UCCCUAAAGUUUUGUAAAUAUUUUUUUAGAUAUUUAGUCUAUUAGUGAGAAAGUUUUAAACCAUUUUAUGCAUGUACCUUAUUAGAUAUACAGUCCUACAUUGUCCUGUUUACAUUCCAGAUUAGAGAAAUGAAAAACAAGUACCCUUGUUAUAUAUUAUAAAAAUAUUGUAUAUGAUUUUGUCAAAAUCAUAUUCAGAUUCAAAAACAAAAUUGAAAUGAUUGAAAACAAUUUUUCUAUUUUAUUAUACAUAGGUAGUCAGUCUGCUCCAUCUGAGGUAGCUCUUAGCAAUAGCUCUUAGUAUCGUUUUACCUUUCUUUUGACUUUUACUACUGCAAACACUAACAAUAUCUAGUUAUAUGUUUUCUUUUAAUAAAUAGUCUUCAUUACUAUCACUAAGAUUUAAUUUGAUCCAAGUCCAAUAUGACUUGACCCGUAUGAAUUUAAAUCAGAAUAGAUGUUUUGGUCACUGUCUAUGAAGACUUUUUCGGCCAUCGUUCAUGUGAGGCAAUGAGAAAGUAUAUAUUUCUAUGUAGAACUUUCUCCAUAAUAUUUUUUAUAACCUUGACGUGUAAUAUUUUUCUGUUUCAACUUAUGAAGAUUUGAUAUUUUUUUGUACAGAAUUUACAGUUUAUAUAAUUAAGUAUCAUAUUUCAUCAUAAAAUAUUUGGGAGUUGGAUUGGUGUUGCAUAUGCGAUUGUUGUGUUUCUUGUUAGUUGCCUUCUUGAUCAAUUUUGUAUGAGGUUUUGGUAAAUUCUAUGAUGUUUUUUAUAUGGUUUUAUCGGAUUGAUCAAACUCAAGAAUUCUGAGUUUUGGCAAAUUCUACUUAGUUUCUUAUAAGGAUUCAAUUAAUUAUUUUUUCUCUGCAGCAAUGUUCGGUGGAUUUAUUUUGUGUAAUAUUUGUCUCAUUGAGCAUAUAUCAUAAGUGAAGAUGUUUCCUUUUAAUUUGAAACUUUGUAAAUUAAACUUAUUUUACGAGAAUGAUAUGUGAGGUGGGCUGUGGAAAAAAAAGUGAUGGAAUUUGUAAACCUUUAGGUUUUGUUAUUCUUACAUUUCUAAUGUNUUUGUUGGAGUCUGACUAAACUUUUUGUUUGAAUUCCGAGUUUUGGUUGGAUUUCUAAUGUCUUACAUUACUACUAACCUUGUAGUGUGGCUNGUAGUUCUUGUGGGUAUUUGUAUUUCUUGCUCUAAAAGCACCUUUUUUACACUUUAUUCUUUUGGACACUUACAUUUCUAAGUAAUUUGUGUUUCUCAUAGCUCUUUGAGUUCUUGAAUCAUACUGAAAUUUGACCCUUUUACAGGAUCCAAUUGAAAUGAUUGAAAACAAUUUUUCUAUUUUAUUUUCUAAGGUGUCACGAUUUUGAAAAGUUAUUUUGUUGGUUAAGUUAUUACUUCAUUUUACUAAUUGUCAAGAGCACUCACAAUUUGAUUUCAACACUUUAUUUUGUGACUGCUGGCGGCUGGACGCCUCCCCAAAGCCUGUGGUGGCUGAUGCUGUGGGCGUAAGCGACUCCUCCCUCAUGGUUUAUCUACUUUGUCAUAUUCUUAACAGAGAUUAUCUUAGCGACACCAUAUUUCUUCUGGAGCUUUUACACGAAGGCAGUAGAUAUGUGGGGCCAGGUUUCGAAAACAGUAGACGGGGUGCAUUUAUUACUUUAGUGAAGAGAAUGUCUAUUGGGGUCGUGGAGGAUAUUGCGGUAGAUAUUGAACUUACUUUGAAGCUUGAGAUUAAUUAUAGCUUUAUUGAAUACAUGGGCUUUGCAUGAAAACGUAUUGGUUGUAGGAAGAUACAUGUGUCAGCCAUGGUGUUUGUCUAAGCAUGAGCAAUACUUGAUCUCUGAACAUUAUGAUGAUCGAGCCUGCUAUGGAAGUUUCUCAACUAGUUUUUUGGUUCCUGAAUUUGUUGACUCAUCUUAUGGUGUUGGUCCAUCUUCUGCCCAAAUUAAUUAUUGUUUUCUUGAAUUGAUGGGAUUUACAGGGAAACUAGGAAUAGAAAUGUGUGCAUGAUGUGCAAAUGGUAGGUGUUGGGCCGGUUUUGGUAACAGUGGAAGGAGAUCCGGUGAACUAUAGGUUUUAUUAUUUUUGAAUUCAUUAUGUUCAUUGCCGUAAUUCUUCAAACUAAACUUGUGGAGUGGGAGAUCUUGAAUGUAGAUACUUUAUAAGUGACACGCUUUGAUAUUUGUGUUGUUAUUGGUUGUUGAUUUUGAUUAUCUUNUUCUACUCACUUUGCAGUUAAGAGGAUAUUGGAUCGAUGGAUUAACCGUAGAUUAUUUUACUUACUACAAAGGUUUAUGUUUCAUUACGUUCUCAUGUACUAUUUUUCUUGUUUGCUAUUGGCUUUAGUCUCUCUUGUUGGUUGUAGGGAGGUACUUGUUUCGGCCAUGGUGUUUGUCUAUGCAAGAGCAAUAAUUGAUCGCUGUAACAUUAUGAUGAUCGAGUUUGUUUUGGAAUUCCUCCAUUGAUUUUUUAAUUAUUGUAUUUGUUUAUUUAUCUUACCAUUUAGGUCCUUCAUCUUCUACCCAGANUAAUUAUAGUUAAUCGAUGGGCUUUACCAAGAAAACUAAGAAAUGAAGUGGGUGCAGGGUAUGCAAAUGGUGGGCAACUUUGAAAACAGUGUAUGGUAACAUUGAAGGAGCUCGGUGAAACACUUUGUUUUAUUAUCUUUGCAUUCAUUAUUUNCAUUGGUGUUAUUUUUCAAACUAAACUUGUGAAAUGGGAGAUCUUGAAAGUAGACAAUCUGUAAGUGAGAGGCUUUGACAUUUGGGUUGUUGGACAGUUGACUCUGUUGAUUUUGAUUAUCUUCUACUCUUGCAGUGAAGAGGAUGUCUAUUGGAUCGUGCAUGCAGUNGGUGUAGAUUAUUUAGCUUACUGCAACGCUUUAUGUUUUAUUACAUUCUCAUUUACUAUUUUCUAGUUUUCUCAAGUGGCUUUAGUCUCUCUUAUUGGUUGUAGGAAGGUGNAUGUUCACUGGACAUUUGUGUUGUGACAGUUGGCUGUUGAUUUUGACUAUGUUCUUCCACUCAUGUUGCAGUGAAGAAGAUUGGACUUACUCUUUGAUUUGAUGGUUUGCUUAUCGGUUUUCCAAAACCCUUCAAUUCAUUGUUUUUUUAUAUUUGUUUGAUUUGGAUAGAAAUAUAUAUUUCUAAGCAAGAUAAUGCUGGAGUAUGAUAGGGAUUUGGGUACGAAUUCCUAACAGCUCUCUCUCUUACUCUCAAACAACGCAAUCAAGACUUGAAAACAGAGAAUGAAUGAAUGGUAUUCACAACAAUGAAGCAAGAAUGCAAUUUAUAGAGGAGCUUAACCUCCUUCACCAGGUUCAAGACCGGUCUAACACACAAGAUUACUAAUUGUCUGCUGAAAACAAUAAAAGAGGUCUCUAUAUAGACACCUGUCCCAUCUCCUUAACCGUUCAGCAUUUAAGUACACUUUCUUAUUUUCUAUUCUCUCUAAGUGCUAACAUUACUCCCCGCCUAGAUCGACCUUGUCCCAAGGUCGAACUGAAUAUGCUCCUACAUCGUUAUCCUAUUCCGCUUGUCGAGAAGGUAGUGAGUUCCAUCCGUUUCUGAUCUACUUCUACCCCCUCCUCUUUUACGUCCUCCUCUUUUACGUCCUCCUCUUCAUCUUCUGCCAGCAGCACCACCCGUAGGCUCUUCUCAGGGCAUUGGUGUCCAGGGCUGAAAAGCCCUCCACAACGAAAGCAUCUUCCCUCUUCCCGGCAUUUUAGAAACUCAGGGUAAGGCAAGUGUCUUGAAUUCCGAUUCCGACUAUCACCUCCGCUGUAACUUCCGCCCUUCGCCGGCCCGUUUCCCAUCGCGCUAUCACGUCUCACCGACCCGACACUCUCGAUCGGUGUCUUUAUAACCAGAUUACUUCUCGGCGGCUCUGUCCUGGCCACCACAACUCCUCCUCCGAUCGUCCGCCCCCAAGAAGGAGGGUUUUCGACCACGGUCCACCCAUCAGUCCUAAGCCAUGAAGAACCUCGUCCACGUCUCGCGCAACCUUCAUCGCCAAUAUCAAAUCAAUUGGGUCAUGGGGUUGCAUCUGGCAUCGCAACUCGCUUAAGCCCGCCAGAAAGUAACCCAACAAUUGGUUAUCCGUAAACUCCUUCGUCUGCCCAGCCAAAGCUUCGAAAUCUCUCACAUAUUCCUCCUCCGUUGCCGUUUGCCUAAUCACCGCCACCCGUAUGCAAAUUGCGCCUCUAUGUUGACUCUCAAAGAGUAUCAACAGAGCCUCCUUGAACCCCUCCCAUGUUCGAUUACUUGCCUUAUCCUUCCAGAAUUUGAACCAGUAGCCGGCGCUUCCCUCCAUACUGAUAUGGGCCAGCUCUACUUUCUCUGCUUCCGCCACUUUUUGUAUCUCGAAGAAUUUCUCCGCCCGGCUAAUCCAAUACAGCAGGUCGGGUCCUUCAAAAAAGGGUAAUUCUACCCUUCGUCUUCAAUUCGGCAUGUUGUCUGAUCACUCUCUGUCCCCUUCGCCUCCGUUGUUCACGCGCUGGUUACCACCCUCGUUAUUGACCGACCUUUGACUCCCUUCGGAACUUUCCUCCCCUUGCUUGUUGCGCUGACCCAUCAUCUUUAUCAAUUCUUGAAUGUCUUUGCGCAUUGCGAUCGACUCUGGUUCGCUGCCGUUUCCGCCUUCAAUCCAUCUACCACCAACUCCAGGUGCUCCAUCUUUCCCUCGACUACCUUCAUUCUUCCCUCCAUCGUCCUUACUCUCCUCCGCACAGAUCCGGCAGUUCGGACCACUUUGAUAGGGAUUCGGGUACGAAUUCUUAACAGCUCUGUCUCUCUUACUCUCAAACAACGCAUUCAAGACUUGAAACCAGAGAAUAGAAUGAAUGGUAUUCACAACAAUGAAGCAAGAAUGCAAUGUACAGAGGAGCUUAACCUCCUUCACCAGGUUCAAGACCAGUCUACACACACAAGAUUACUAAUUGUCUGCUGAAAACAAUAAAAGAGGUCUCUUAUGCAGACACCAAUCCCGACCCCUUAACCGUUAAGCAUUUAAGUACACUUUCUUAUUUUUCUAUUCUCUCUAAGUGCUAACAAGUAUGUACAUUGUGUUGAUAUAUGCUUGUUAUAGACUAGCUAUCUUUUUCCUCCAUGGUGUUUGUCUAUAUGCAACAGCAAUAAUUAAUGCUGGAUCAUUAUGAUGAUCGAGCUUGUUUGGAAAUUUCUCCAUUGAUUUUUUAAUUAUUGUAUUUGUUUAUUUAUCUUAUCAUCGAGGUCCUUCAUCUUCUACCCAAAUUAAUUAUAGUUAAUCAAUGGGCUUUACAAGAAAACUAAGAAAUGAAAUGGGUGCAGGGUAUGCAAAUGGUGGGUGGUGAGCAACUUCAGAAACAGUGUAUGGUAACAAUGGAUGGAGCUCCGGUGACCCUUUGUUUUAUUAUCUUUGCAUUGGUUAUCUCUAUAAUCGUUAUUUUUCAAACUAAACUUGUGGAAUGGGAGAUCUUUAAAGUAGGCACUAUAAGUGAGAGGCUUUGACAUUUGGGUUGUUGGACUGUUGGCUCUGUUGAUUUUGAUUAUCUUCUUCUACUCUUCUUGCAGUGAAGAGGAUGUCUAUUGGAUCAUGCAUGCAAUAGGUGUAGAUUAUUUAACUUACUCGAAAGCUUUAUGUUUUAUUACAUUCUCAUUUACUAUUAUUCUAGUCUGCUCAAGUGGCUUUUGUCUCUCUUAUUGGUUGUAGGAAGGUACAUGCUAAAUGGACAAUUGUGGUCAGAGAAUCUGUUAUGGAAAUUUCUCCAUUGGGUUUUUAAUUCUUUAUUUUGGUUAUUCAUCUUAUCAUCUAGGUCCUUCAUCUUCUACCCAGAUUAAUUAUAGUUUUAUUGAAUACAUGGGCUUUACAUGAAAACGUAUUGGUUGUAGAAAGGUACAUGUGUCAGUCAUGGUGUUUGUGUAAGGCUGAGCAAUACUUGAUCGAGCCUACUAAGGAAGUUUCUCAAUUAAUAUUCGCUAAUUUGUUUAUUCAUAUUAUGGUCUUGGGUCUUUCAUCUUCUACCCAAAUUUCUUGAAUGGAUUUGAUCGAGAUCCUUCAUCUUCUAUCCAAAUUGAUUAUUGUUUUCUUGAAUUGAUGGGCUUUACACGGAAACUAAGAAAUGAAAUGUGUGCAGGGUGUGUAAAUGAUGGGUGGUGGGCAGGUUGCGGUAAUGGUGGAUGGAAAUCCGGUGAUUCUUAGGUUUUAUUAUUUUUGAGUGGAAAUCUGGUGAACCUUAGGUUUUAUUAUUUUUUAAUUUAUUAUUUUGAUUGCCGUUAUUCUUCAAACUAAACUUGGAGUGGUAGAUCUUGAAAGUAGGCACUCUAUGAGUGAUAGUCUCGUUGGACCUUUGGCUGUUGAUUUUGAUUAAUCUUCUUCUACUCAUCUUGCAAUGAAGAUGUCUAUUGGAUCGUGGGCGCAGUAGUUGUAGGUUAUUUAACUUACCAUAGAGCUUUAUGUUUUCUUUGAUUCUGAUGUACUAUUUUUCUUGUCUGUUCUAGGUGGAUUGGCUUUAGUCUCUCUUGUUUGUUGUAGGGAGGUACAUGUUUCGGCCAUGGGGUUUGUCUAUACAAGAGCAAUAAUUGAUCGCUGGAACAUUAACAUGAUCGAGCUUGUUUGGAAAUUUCUCCAUUGGUUUUUUAAUUAUUGUAUUUGUUUAUUUAUCAUAUCAUCUAGGUCCUUCAUCUGAUCGAUGGGCUUUACAAGAAAACUAAGAAAUCAAGUGAUUGCAGGGUAUGCAAAUGGUGGGUGGUGNGCAGCUUCAGAAACAGUGGAUGGUAACAAUGGNUGGAGCUCCGGUGUAACCCUUUGUUUUAUUAUCCCUUUGUUUUAUUNUCUUUGCAUUCGUUAAUUUCAUUGCUGUUAUUUUUCAAACUAAACUUGUGGAAUGGGAGAUCUUUAAAGUAUGCACUCUAUAAGUGAGAGGCUUUGACAUUUGGGUUGUUGAUCUGUUGGCUCUGUUGAUUUUGAUUAUCUUCUUCUACUCCUCUUGCNGUGAAGAGGAUGUUUAUUGGAUCGUGCAUGCAGNAGGUGUAGAUUAUUUAAAUUACUGCAAAGCUUUAUGUUUAAUUACAUUCUCAUUUACGAUUAUUCUAGUUUGCUUAAGUGGCUUUAGUCUCUCUUAUUGGUUGUAGGUUGUAGGAAGGUACACGCUCACUGGAAAAAUAUGGUCAAAGAAUCUGUUAUGGAAAUUUAUCCAUUGUUUUUUUAAUUCUUUAAUUUGUUUAUUCGUCUUGUCAUCUAGGUCUUUCAUCUUCUGCCCAGAUUAAUUGUAGUUUUAUUGAAUACGUGGGCUUUACAUGAAAAAACGUAUUGGUUGUAGGAACGUUCAUGUGUCAGCCAUGGUGUUUAUCUAAGCAUGAGUAAUACUUGAUCGCUGAACCUUAUGAUGAUCGAACCUACUAUGGAAGUUUCUCAAUUAGUAUUUUUGUUUUUGAAUUUGUUUAUUCAUCUUAUGGGCUUGGGUCUUUCAUCAUUUACCCAAAUUUCUUGAAUGGAUGGGGUCUUAGUUCUUCAUCUUCUACCCAAAUUGAUUAUUGUUUUCUUGAAUUGAUGGGCUUUACACGGAAACAAAGAAAUGAAAUGUGUGCAGGGGUUUGCAAAUGGUGGGUGGUGGGCUGGUUUCGGUCUUCAAACUAAACUUUUCGAGUGGGAGAUCUUUAAUGUACGCAUUCUAUGAGUUUGAGGCUUCGGUAUUUGGGUCUAUGUUUUGGAGCGGGAGAUCAUGAUAGUAGGCACUCUAUGAGUGAGAGCCUUUGACAUUUGGCUCUGACUUUUGGAGUGGGAGAUCCUGAAAGUAGGCACUCUGAGUGGAGGCUUUGUCGUUUGGGUUGUUUGACCAUUGACUCCGUUGAUUUUGAUCAUCUUCUCCCACUCCUUUUGCAUUGAAGAGUCAUUUACUUGUUUUCUUGUGUGCCCGAGUGGCUUUAGUCUCUCUUAUUUGUUUUAGGAAGGUACAUGUUUUGGGCAUGGUCUUUGUUAAAACAAGAGCGAUACUUGAUUGCUGGACAUUAUUCAUCUUAUCUUCUAGGUCCUUCAUCUUCUACCCAGAUUAAUUAUAGCAAUACUUGAUUGCUUAAGAUUAUGAAGAUCGAGCCUGCUAUGGAAGUUUCUCAAUUAGUUUUUUGGUUCCUGAAUUUGUUUAUUCAUCUUAUGGUGUUGGUCCUUCGUCUUCUAUCCAAAUUGAUUAUUGUUUUUUUAAUGGAUGGGUGACCCUUUAUCUUCUACCCAUAUUGAUUAUUGUUUUCUUGGAUUAAUGAGUUUACAGGAAAAGAAGAAUUGAAAUGGGUGCAGGGUGAGCAAAUGGUGGGUGGUGGGCAAGUUUAGGUAGCAGUGGAUGGAGAUAUGUUGAACGUAAGGUUUUAUUAUCUUUGAAUUCGUUUUCUUUGAACUCACUAUUUUCAUUGACUAUUUUCAUUGACGUUAUUUGUCAUGUUAAAAUUGUGGAGUGGGAGAUUUGUAAAUAGGCACUCUAUGAGUGAGAGGCUUUGACAUUUGUGUUGUGACAGUUGGCUGUUGAUUUUGACUAUGCUCUUCUGCUCAUGUUGCAGUGAAGAAGAUGUAUAUUGGAUCUGGAUACAGUAGGUUUAGAUUAUUUAACUUACUUCAAAGCUUCAUGUUUUAUUACGUUCUCAUUUACUAUUUUUUAUCUGCUCGAGUUGGAAGGACUUUAGUCUCUUUUAUUGGUUGUAGUUGUUUGGGCCUUUUGUCUGUCGAGUUGGAAAAGUCUCUUUUAUUGGUUGUAGUAAGGUACAUGUUCCGGCCAUGGUGCAAGAUCAGUAAUGCUGAACAUUAUGAUCACCGAGCCUGUUUUGGGAAUAUCUCCUUUGGAAUUUUAAUUCCUGUUUUUAUCUUAUUGAUUAGCUCCUUCAUCUUCUACCCAGAUUAAUUAUAUUUUUUUUGUAUGCAUGGGCUUUGCAGGGAAACUAAAAUGAAGUGGGUGCAGGGUGUGCAAAUAGUGGGUGGUGGAUAGGUUUGGGAAGCAGUGGUUGGAUAUCCAGGGAAACUUUAGGUUCUAUUAUCUUUACAUUCGUUAUUUUCUUCACAAUUAUUUUUCUGGCUAAACUUUUGGAGUGGGAGUUCUUGUAAACAGGCACUAUGAGUAUGAGAGGCUUUGGCAUUUGUAGAGUUGUGUAGAGUUGUGCCUUCGGCAUUUGCAGUGGAAACUUGCUUGCUAUGGAUGUCUGUAGUGUUGUGGAGGCAAUGGCGGUAGAUUACUUUUUCGAAUGGUUGUAGUCUCUCUCGUUUUAUUAUGUUUGCAUUCACUAUUAUUCUUAAGUGGUUGAUUUGGAAGGUACAUGAAUCAUUCGGUGUUUGUCCAUACAAGAGCAAUACUUGAUCAUUGAAGAUUAUGAUCUUCGAGCCUGUUAUGGUGUAGGGGUUUAAAUAGUGCAUGGAAAUUUUGUGCACUGUGAAGCUAAGGGUUUUAUUUACUGGUACAGUGCAGUGUUUUCUGGAUCAA